ACAUAUUGAAGUUAGCCUACAAGCUGUCGUUAAAAGUUCCGUCUUUCAGUAGACCUUGUGCAGCGUACUCUCAGCUCAAUACGAAAUUCUUGACUGCGUUCUCGAGUUUUGUUUAACGGUAAUGAGAAGGAGUUAGAUAAUGCACAGAGGCAAGGUUUUGUCUGGUCUUGCAGGAGUCCCAGGUGCUUUUUGCGCCGCAUACACUGUCGCAAUCGUUACACAUCUGAGGAACCAGACUGGCGGCGCAUAGGUAAAGCCGGCUGCCAGUGCAAGCCGCAGUCCCCUACAUUGUCGCUAUAAAGAGGAAAUUUGUACGUGUACUAAGUGUACGCAACGUUUCUUUGUUUAGUAUAAUUUGGCGGUGCCUCCAGCAGACAAAAUGUGGAUCCCAUACUGCUCCGUCGGUUUGGGCUCGGCAAUGCCUCCGCGUGGCGGGCGCGUUUAAGAGAAAGCUUUAGCUCGGGUGUUCCAAUCUAAAUACAUGUAAACGCAGUAUUCGUUUUUCUCGGCAACCACUGCACCAAAUUUGACGAGGUUUGUUACAUUUAAAACAAAAGCUUAGAAUCUAGAAUUUCUGCUGGGUACACAAUAGAUUUAAGCGAAACAAUUGAAGCAAAGCGGGGCAUGGUGCUUUCAGUGCCCAAUUUUUUAUAGAACAUGUAGUUUUCCAUUAUAAAGGGGACUGUAAUGCGAUGUCUUUAAGUAGGGGGGUUGUCUUAUAUUCAGAGUCGACUUAUGUUUCAAUAUUAACGGGAAUGAAGUGUUACGCAAUUCUAUUAACGAAAUUUACCUCUGCUGUUUAGUUUCCAUAUUGUGCGUAGAAGCAACAGUGCGUGCACUUUCAGCUGCUCAGUUUAUCUUCAAUGCUGCUCUCAUUUUGUAGAGUUCAUCACUUGUGCAUGUGCAACACAUUGGCGGAGGCAAUACGAACUGCAUUUCUCACUAGCUGGACAAGUCGGAAUGGCAAUGCACCUUGGAGAACAAGACUCGAAUUGUGAAAGUCUGGUGGUUUCACAGAACUUUGUUUUAUGUCAAGAUGGGCUGACACCAUGUCACCUGAUGCUGUCACUCUCUGGAUGACCAGCAAAGCUGCGUACGUGGGCCCCUUAAUGGUGAACUGCACCUCUACCGCGGGUCGGCCUGGUAUUGCACUACC
rnacentral:misc_RNA from 1 species